rnacentral:rRNA from 1 species
AGGGGCCCGCGGCCUAUCAGGUAGUUGGUGAGGUAACGGCUCACCAAGCCGACGACGGGUAGGGGGCGUGAGAGCGUGGCCCCCCACACGGGAACUGAGACACGGUCCCGACGCCUACGGGCGGCAGCAGUGAGGAAUCUUGCCCAAUGGGGGAAACCCUGAGGCAGCGACACCGCGUGCGGGAUGAAGGCCUUCGGGUCGUAAACCGCUUUUCUGGGGGACGAGUAAGGACGGUACUCCAGGAAUAAGUCCCGGCUAACUACGUGCCAGCAGCCGCGGUAAAACGUAGGGGGCGAGCGUUAUCCGGAAUCACUGGGCGUAAAGGGCGUCUAGGCGGCAGCCUAAGUCCCGUGUGAAAGCUCCCGGCUCAACUGGGAGAGGGCAUGGGAGACUGGGCAGCUAGAGACUCGGAGGGGGGUGUGGAAUUCCCGGUGGAGUGGUGGAAUGCGUUGAGAUCGGGAGGAACACCAGUAGCGAAGGCGGCACCCUGGCCGAGAUCUGACGCUGAAGCGCGAGAGCGUGGGGAGCGAACGGGAUUAGAUACCCCGGUAGUCCACGCCGUAAACGAUGACAACUAGGUGUUGGGUGUCCAAGGAUGCUCAGUACCGCAGCAAACGCGAUAAG